ensembl:lncRNA
UCUUAACGGUUGUACAGUCAUCUCAAAUAAAACUGUGAAGGACCUCGGCGUUACUCUGGACCCUGAUCUCUCUUUUGACGAACAUAUCCAUAUCCUGUCCAUUCGGGGCCCGCUGCAGGGGUCCCCAGUUUGAGGUCGGCGGCGGGGGUCGCCGCGACAGGGGCGCCACUUAAGUGGACCGAGACUAUGAUGGAGUGGGGUCCACGUCCCGAGCCAGAGCCGCCACCGCGGACAGACGCCCAUCCAGACCCUUCCCUAUAGGUUCAGGUUUUGCGGCCGGAGUCCGCACCUUUGGUGGGGGGGGGGGGUACUGUCACGUUCUGACCUUAGUUCCUUUAUUUUGUCUUUGUGUUAGUAUGGUAAGGGCGUGAGUUGGGGUGAACAGUCUAUGUUUGUUUUUCUAGGUUGUGUUUAAUAAUGGGAAUUGAUGGGAAAUUAUGUAAAAUAUAUCACUAGCCACUUUAAACAAUGCUACCUAAUAUAAUGUUUACAUACCCUACAUUAUUCAUCUCAUAUGUAUACGUAUAUACUGUACUCUAUAUCAUCUACUGCAUCUUUAUGUAAUACAUGUAUCACUAGCCACUUUAACUAUGCCACUUUGUUUACAUACUCAUCUCAUAUGUAUAUACUGCACUCAAUACCAUCUACUGUAUCUUGCCUAUGCUGCUCUGUACCAUCACUCAUUCAUAUAUCCUUAUGUACAUAUUCUUUAUCCCCUUACACUGUGUAUAAGACAGUAGUUUUGGAAUUGUUAGUUAGAUUACUUGUUGGUUAUUACUGCAUUGUCGGAACUAGAAGCACAAGCAUUUCGCUACACUCGCAUUAACAUCUGCUAACCAUGUGUAUGUGACAAAUAAAAUGUGAUUUGAUUUGAUUUGUUUAUGGGUUUGGCCUGGUAUGGUUCUCAAUCAGAGGCAGGUGUCGUUCGUUGUCUCUGAUUGAGAAUCAUACUUAGGUAGCCUUUUCCCACCUGUGUUUUGUGGGUGAAUGUUUUCUGUUUAGUGUAUGUCACCUUUCAGAAGUGUUUCAUUUAAUCCUCUGUUGUUAUUUUGUUCAGUGUUCUGUUGAAUAAAUUAACAUGGAAACGUACCACGCUCUCCUACUCCUCCUCAGACGAGGACGACGAUCGGUUACAAAUAUAAAAUAUACUAUGUCUGUAAAAUGUAGAUAGUAUGUAACAUGUAUUUAGUAUG